GCGCAGGAAAAGAAACCAACAGGGAUUGCCCUAGUAACGGCGAGUGAAGCGGCAACAGCUCAAAUUUGAAAUCUGGCUCCGGCCCGAGUUGUAAUUUGCAGAGGAAGCUUCUGGUGAUAUACCGUCUAAGUCCCCUGGAACGGGGCGCCACAGUGGGUGAGAGCCCCAUGUGUCGGAUGUAGAUCCUGUGUGAAGCUCCUUCGACGAGUCGAGUAGUUUGGGAAUGCUGCUCAAAAUGGGAGGUAAAUUCCUUCUAAAGCUAAAUAUUGGCCAGAGACCGAUAGCGCACAAGUAGAGUGAUCGAAAGAUGAAAAGCACUUUGAAAAGAGGGUUAAACAGCACGUGAAAUUGUUGAAAGGGAAGCGCUUAUGACCAGACUUGCGCUGGGCUGAUCAUCCGGUGUUCUCACCGGUGCACUCGGCCCAGCUCAGGCCAGCAUCGGUUUUGGUGAGGGGAUAAAGGCGUAGGGAAUGUAGCUCCCCCGGGAGUGUUAUAGCCCAGCGUGCAAUACCCCCGCUGGGACCGAGGUUCGCGCUCUGCAAGGAUGCUGGCGUAAUGGUCAUCAGCGACCCGUCUUGAAACACGGACCAAGGAGUCAAGGUUUUGCGCGAGUGUUUGGGUGUCAAACCCGCACGCGUAAUGAAAGUGAACGUAGGUGAGAGCUUCGGCGCAUCAUCGACCGAUCCUGAUGUUCUCGGAUGGA
rnacentral:rRNA from 1 species